AGUGGCAGCAUGUUUCAUUCUUCAUGUUGAUGAUACCUCAGGUCCUGAUGAGACCAUUGAAAAGCUUCGACAGCUUUGUGGCCCUGGUGCCGUGCAGACAGUUAAGCAAUACAAUUUUGUACAUGAAUUCAGAAGUCUCCGAAGCCAGUGGCAAGAAGAAUACACUGAUAGACUACUAUCAAGAUCAGUCUCCCGCUAAAAUAUUUAAUUAUAUAGCUGCUUGUGUAGCCUAGUCUAAGUUGUCUACUUUGUACUUUAGAAUAACCAUGAACUGUGAGACCAUAUAUAUUAUUGUUAUUUGUGCAGGAAUUAUGUCUUUGGUUGGAAUUUUUGCUUUGCUUUUUUUAUUUUCUGUUUAGAAGUACAAAUGAUGUAAUGAAAUGCUUUCUCUAGAUUAUAAAUCAUACACAAACGGAGGAACUUGUUUACGAAGAUUUUAUUCUUUUUGAUAUUUCUGGAAAUUUAUAUUUAAUAAAUCCUACUGCAGA